CCCGACUGCUAUCGGAUUGAGAUUUAGCCAUGCGAGUCGAACGUCCCCCUGUUGCGGGGGGCGUGGCGUACGGCUCAGUAACACGUAGUCAACCUGCCCUGGAGACAUGGACAACCCCGGGAAACUGGGAUUAAUCCGUGAUAGGCCACCUCAUCUGGAAGGAGAGAUGGCUCAAAGGGGCGCGCGAGCUUCUUUCGUGCGUUUGCUCCAGGAUGGGACUGCGUCCGAUCAGGCUGUUGGCGGGGUAAUGGCCCACCAAACCUGUAACCGGUACGGGCCUUGAGAGGGGGGGCCCGAAGAUGGACACUGAGAGAAGGGUCCAGGUCCUACGGGGCGCAGCAGGCGCGAAACCUUCGCAAUGCGCGAAAGCGCGACCAGGUUAAUCACGAGUGAUCCCCGCUGAGGGGAUCUUUUGUCAGCUGUAAAUUGUCAGGCGAAUAAGGGGAGGUCAUGAUUGGUGUCACCCUGCCGCUGAUACCAUGGAAUUUGCCGCCACAAGCCAUGUCCGUCGAAACUACGGCAUCGCUCCGUCUGAAGUCCACCGCUGCUGUUCUAAAUCUCAUG
rnacentral:rRNA from 1 species